rnacentral:tRNA from 1 species
GCAGCGAUGGUCUAGUGGUCAAGACACCACACCAAUGUGUCUUGCAAACACAAGCAGGAAGGGAUGGUGAGUGCUCUGCAACACCAUCUCGGAAGUGUGGAAAUCGUGGGUUCGAAUCCUACUCGCUGCG